GCAGGCCCCAUGCAGGGAGCCCAACAUGGGACUUGAUGCUGGGUCUCCAGGAUCACACCCUGGGCUGAAGGCAGCGCUAAACCCCUGAGCCACCUGGGCUGCCCUAUAACCAAGGUCCUCAUCAAGGAAGUAUGGCCAGUUCUUCAAGGACUCGGCGCUGUUCCAGAUGCUGAGGAUACAGCAGAGGCAAGAAAGACAGAUAAGAACCAUGCCCUCCUGGAAGCCUCAUUCCAUACUACAAACAAUUCUACAUUAUAGCAAAUAAGAACAUGAGCAAGAUAACUGCAAAUAGUGACUCAUCAGCAUCUCUGUGAAGUAAGAUUCAAGGAUGAAGUCAAUAUGGAACUUCUCUAAGUUUUCAGGAACAGACCAAGGGCUUGGUUAUAAGCAGAUCUAAACACAAAACACUACAGAGAUAAACACCCCGAUUCAUUUUCCUCUGAGUUUUUUUUUUUUUUUUUUUUUUAAGGGACCUACUGCUUUACAUCCUGCAAAUUGUUCUCUUUGUUUCUCUUCUCCC
rnacentral:lncRNA from 1 species